GGGGAUAUAGUUCAGUGGUAGAGCACUUGCCUCGUGUGCAUGAGGCCCUGGGUUCCAUCCCCA
rnacentral:tRNA from 1 species